GACGAACGCUGGCGGCGUGCCUAAUACAUGCAAGUAGAACGCUGAAGAGAGGAGCUUGCUCUUCUUGGAUGAGUUGCGAACGGGUGAGUAACGCGUAGGUGACCUGCCUUGUAGCGGGGGAUAACUAUUGGAAACGAUAGCUAAUACCGCAUAACAAUGGAUGACACAUGUCAUUUAUUUGAAAGGGGCAAUUGCUCCACUACAAGAUGGACCUGCGUUGUAUUAGCUAGUAGGUGAGGUAAUGGCUCACCUAGGCGACGAUACAUAGCCGACCUGAGAGGGUGAUCGGCCACACUGGGACUGAGACACGGCCCAGACUCCUACGGGAGGCAGCAGUAGGGAAUCUUCGGCAAUGGGGGCAACCCUGACCGAGCAACGCCGCGUGAGUGAAGAAGGUUUUCGGAUCGUAAAGCUCUGUUGUAAGUCAAGAACGGGUGUGAGAGUGGAAAGUUCACACUGUGACGGUAGCUUACCAGAAAGGGACGGCUAACUACGUG
rnacentral:rRNA from 1 species